UUGUGCUUAUAUAUAUAUAUCUUUGCUUAGUUUGCUAAAUAAAUAAAUAAGUAAAGUUUGCUAUGAACCCUCAUGAUAAGCUCUCACAUGGAAAUGAUGAAUAGUUGCUUUGCCAUGUACCUAGUUUUCAAGUUUAAGCUUUCUCUCAAGUUUAGUCAUGACUGUUAUUAAUUAAGAUUUGCUCUAAACCUGAACUUGUGGGAAGAGUACUUGAUCUGAAGUCUAAGUCGUUAACGGAUAUGAUAUGGGAAGGUUGAGCUGCUGUUUAUUAGUUCCUAGAGAUGCUAGAAUUUUGGAGAAUUUUAUCUUUGAAAAUCUUUAAAAUGUUGCAUGAUGAGUUCCUGUAUGAUGAGAGUUUAAAUUCCUACCACAGCCAUAUAUACAUGCUUGCUAGACUUUCAGCCACACAUUUACUUUUUACUGCUUAUGAGCAUUGCGUGUGGUCAAGCUGUGUAGACCCUUAGAAGCUUGUCAUGUGGUUAAAUCAAGAUUCACUUGCACGUUCACUCAUACAUGCUGCUUCUACUCCGGAAGUACGCAUCCACAUAUAUCCACCCAUGUUCAUCUCCAGAUUCAUUCAAAAUUAUUCUAUUCCUAUCUAGGAGAGAAUAGCCAAAAACAUUAUCCUAUCCCUGUUAUUUCCCGUGAAAUAAAUGCUCAAGUUAUCUUGGUUACUACCACUUGCUAUAUUAUUUCAAGAGAUGAAUGCUCUAAAAAAAAUAAAAAAAAGAUACGAGGAAAUAAAAAGGGGCAAGUGCCCGAAACCUCGAAAGAAAAGAAAAAGUGAGACGAGAGGUAAAAAUGGACAAGUGUCCGACAGUAGAAUUAGGGGUACAAGAUACCCACCUGAGAGAAAAGAAAAAGAAAAUAUAGAGCAUCUCAUUCUCAUCAAAAAGUUUCAAAAUAGCAAGACAGGUAUGUAUCCCCUCAAAAGAGCAUAAGUAGAAUUAGACUUUCACCAUUGUUAUCACCAUCAUUACCAUGCAUCAUUCAUUCGCCACACAUGCACAUCUUGAUCUGACUUAUUGACUUGUUCUUCUGGAUCCAUGGUUUGACUAUGCAAUAAAUGUCUUGUAAGUAUGUAUUAGCUGUCUCCCACCUAUGAGCUCCAGAUAUCAAAAGCCUUAUUAGAGUAGGGUGAGAGAGAAGGCAAUGUCACUAUACCUUAUACCAAAAAUACCACAUACUUUGAGAGAAGGCAUACACCUUUACUGCCUUGGUAAGGAUCCAGAAAUACCACAAAAGAGAGACUAGAGAGAGUCAUACAAGGAAUCUCUGAGUUCUAUUUGAAAAUCUGCAAAAACUCCAGAGCUAUAGUUAAUCGAAGAACAAGAGACAUGGCGUUUGACUAGACCGUUCUAUCUUUUAACUGCUCAAGACACAGGUGACGGUUGCAAGCCCCAUGGUGGAAGGUAAUAUGAGUAAGUUUAAAUCUUAACAGUUUACCCUAACCUAGAGAUGAGAUCUUGUUUGAACGCAUGUGUAUCUUUAAGGUAUAAAACCACUGCAGAAACUCUUGAGUCCAUCUUUGCUCAGGGACGAGCAAAGGUUAAGCUUGGGGGAGCUUGUUGACAGUCCUUAAUGCUCAUAUUUAAUCAUUAACGAAUCAUGGAAAAGGAUCCAAAUGCAACCAACACCUAGACUUAGGGUUUUAUCUGACAGAAUCCCACGAGUUUUGGUGUUUGUCUAUUUCUGCAGGGGGUUAUCAGGAAAUACGGAAGAAAGGCCCACACGUCGGGUUUACAUAGAGAUAUUAACGUGUCGCGCAAUUUUCUAUCAUCUAGAAGACUCUAGAAGCCACAGGAACAAAUGGGAAGGAAAUCGAGCUCGGAGGCAGGGCGCCCGCCCAACUCUCCUGGGCGCCCGCCCAGCUACAGUGCCCAAUCAGGACACGUUUCGCGGAUCAUGCUCCACCGACCUAAUACUUCAAGGAAAACCACACGAUCAAUGUCGGUUUGAUCCGACGGCCCAGAUUCAUCUGAAAAGACUAUAUAAGCAUGGCCCCCUGGACCCUGGAGAUCAUACCUCUUCUACAGAAUCAAAGUUAGGGUUUCCAUUCUUCAUCCAAGUAGAGAGGAUUCCUCUAGUUCUUCUAGUUCUACCUCUAGUUCAUCUAGAUCUAGUUCUAGUUCAUCUAGUUCUAGUUCUAGUUCCUCUAGUUCUAGUUCUAGUUAGUUCUAGUUGUAAUCUAGAAAAUAGGGAGAGAGAAGAGGAGAGCGGAGGAGGAGCCGGAUCUGUCGGAUCUUCCUCAACAUUAUACUUUUGCAGCAUCUGGUUCGUUCUUCAUCGUUCUCCAGGUUCUUCAAUUCAUAAUUCCUGAGUUCUUUAAUUACUUUUAUUUACAUUCAAGUUAUUUAUUGGAUUCCCGCUUGCAUCAAGUGCCCUAGUCUUUAUAACGCUAGAGUAGUAAUUAAUAGAUUAGACGUGGUGUUUAGUCUUGCAAUUACCUGGAAUUGCACCCAAUCCUGCGGAUUGUUGUGGUAGCCUUAGGGUAGUGACAGCCCUAACGGUCGACGUAUUCCACCACGUUCGGAUCGGUGUUUGUAGGACCGUAGUCAGACCUUCCUAGCCCCCUUCUCAUCUCUUUCUGUGGUUAGUGCUCUGAUGUCCCGAUAUAAAUAAUCUUGAAGUAAUUAUUGAUUCUUAGAUCAACUAGAGAACUCUCAGGAAACUUCCUCUCUUCCCACCAAAAAUAAUUAUAUAGUUAUCCUUAGGCGAUCUUGGAUCUUAAUUAGUACACUCACGUUCUUUGUGGAAAAUCGAUACUCUGGAAUACUCCCGGGUGAAAGCUACAUCGGUAUCCGUGCGCUUGCGGAUUUUUCUGUUUGCGAUUAAAAUACCCAACAAGCUUUCUGGCGCCGUUGCCAGGGAACGGUAGUUGUGCUAGUUUCGAACCAAGUCGUCCGUGUAUCCUUUUUCUUUUCCUUUUUUACCACACUCACCUUAUCAUUUUCACCAUACCACAUGGAUUUCACUCUAAGCAUUAAUGAGCAUGGAAUUUAUUUCAUAGCCACUUCACUUACUCCAUGCUCAUAUGCAACAUCUUCACAAUCCAUUGGUCUCUCCAACAUCACCACAUUCGAGAUCUCCAACCCCCUCUUCCUUUCUAUUCAUAAAAACUUUAAAAGGGCGAUUGUCGAUGCAUAUGUCUAUAAUAAAUUUUGCAGAUCUCGUUGAGUUGAUCUUGAUAUAGGUCAGCUUUGGAGGGGAAACCACUUCACUGACAUAAAUUGAUGGUUUCCCAAGGACAAGCUUAGCGUCCUAAAAUAAGCACUGAUCAGACCAUAACAUAAACUUUUAAUUAUUUGCAACAUUACCUUGUGUGUUGAGCAUAUCAGGAUAAUUGUAAAAAUAUUCCUUCGGGUAUUCUUGUCACUAACCUUCCUAGGAUUGGAGCAAGAAGAUCAGAUGAAUGACAAGCACAUGGUAUGUCCAACCAAUCAUCAUACAACAUUGAAUUAAAUUCAUCCAAACUUGAAUUUUGCAAAAUUCAAGCUUGGGGGAGUACUUUACAUAAAAACAUCCUUUGCCAUGUUGCUAUGUUGGUUUUCCCUACCUUUGAGACAUGCUCAAUUUGUUAAAUACUAAUCACACUACUUCAUCUCCACUUGAGUAGAUCUCUAUAAAUGCUCUCAUGCUACCUUUAUUUGCUUUAGUAUAUGUCUAGGUUUGGAGUAGUUUCAUUUAUCUCUUAUUUAAGCAUGGUGCUUAGUUUAGGGCUGAUGAUCUUACUUCCAAGGGAGUUUAAAUUAAGCAUGAUGCUUAGGUUAAAAUGCCCUCCUAAAUCAAAUUAGACAUGGUGUCUAGAUUGAUCUUUGAGCCGAUAGUAUGCUAUAGUAGAUAUUGGAUAUUUUGUUAGACUAACCCCUGCAGGAAAUUUUUCAAUAUUAACCUGGGAAGUCCUGAGAUAAACUCACAUUGGAGACAAAGAGAGAGAUGCAUGAAGGUUAACAAUUUACACAAGGAAGACAUAGCUCACAAGAGAUGAUCCAUGGAGAGUGCUACAAACACGAUGCACAACCGCUAAGAAAGGAAAGCUUCCACAAAGUGAUACUGUACCAUCACUCUUCAAGUAAGGUAACAUCUUAAGGUACUUGACUAUCACUUUUAUAAGUUUCUCCUUGGUUCUGGCGUUCACAUGAAUAAAAGAGACAAACAUGUAUGAUUUACAACUCUAGAUUAACCAACCCAAUCGGUUCAACAUGUUUAGUCCUUCCACCUUUGUGAUCCCACAAUCCUAAUCAUAUGAGCUAAAAUGUUGCACACUCAAUCUUUGGAAGAUAUAUUUUAUAAAAAAAACAACAUAAAUAUAGAUAGAUUAUCUUUCCAUUAGGUUGAGCGAUUUGAUCUGACAAAUGUUUUAAAUGUUAUACUCAUGAUCUUAUUAUCCAUCAACUUUGUCUUGCUCACUAUGCUUGAGGUUAGAGAGGAACAAAUACACUUUUGGUUCUGUUGGUGUUUUCCACCAAUAGGGCCCAUGCACUUGAUCUCUGCCUUGUCUCUAUGAGCAGGUACACUUCGAGCAAAAUAUGAAGGAGUUUUACAACUUCGAGACUCCACCAAGUGAAGAACCUAGAUAUACGAGCACAAACACACUAGAGAUACUGGACACUCAUGCAAUCACUGCCCUGAGAUGCUUGAGGACGUAACUACUGGAGUAACCCCAUUGUGGAAGUAAUUACUGACCUUCUGCCGGUCAAGAGAGACAAUCCAGGACGCCCUGUCAUCCCGAUCUCCAUCGGCAUGGUGGACUUCCUAGAAGCACUCUGCGACUUUGGCUCCAGCGUCAACAUUAUGAUCAGGGUACUCUAUGAAAAAUUCUUUACACAUCCUUUAUGAGAAACAACCAUGUAUUUGCAGCUUGCAGAUCAGACACUAAGUUUCCAAAAGGGAAUAUUGAAGAACCUCUACGUCCGAGUUGGUACCUUAUACACUCUAGCAGACUUCGUGGUGAUAGAGACUGGUAUAGAUGAGAGGGCACCCAUCAUUCUAGGGAGGCCAUUCCUAAACACUUCGGGAGCUAUCAUCGACGCUAGUGCUCCCAAUAUCAGUUUCUACAUCAAGGGGAAGGAAGGAGACGUUUUCCUUCAAGAACAAGGCUACAUAAAUCUUAGAGCAAUCCCAACAUGAACCAAAGAAGAGGACAAAACAGGAGGAACAGGAACAAGCAAAUGUCGUCCGAGUCAGCUAAGAUGGUCACUCAAGUUCAAGGAGGUCAAGAUCGUCGACUUAAGUCACCAUUCCUGACCAAAAAGGACGACCCAAGUAUGCCAAGCAUCCAGUGCUCCAUUAAUCGAUACAACUUCCAGAAGACGCUUUGCGACACCGGGUCAGGCGACAACAUAAUGGCCGCAGUCACCUAUCAGCUCCUGUUCGGAACCAUGCCCCUAAAACCGACAUACAUUCAGCUCCAGAUGGCAGAUCAGACAUUCUGAAAGGUUAUUGACAUGGGAGAAGACGAGUACGAUCCAUCAUCCUUGGAAGACCGUUCCUCAGUAUCAUUAAAGCAAUGAUCUACAUUGGAACCGGAGAAGUCCACAUGCACUUUCCGUCUGAGAAGGUACGCCUUUAUUAUACUGGCCUUAACUAUAUAGUUGGAGACUCUAAGCAGGUCAGGACAAGAAGAAGACGAUGCAACCGCAAACAGAGGAGACAAAUCAUCAAGGACGGAUGGGUAGACUAUGAAGGAAAAGUAGUACAGUCUAAAGACAUACAACUUGAACAGAACUGUCCUGAGGAGACCGUAGCACCGAAUCAGGUGUGGAGAGAGAAGAUAGUUAUACAUGAAGAGGAGGCGCCGCCGGAACCACCAACUACGCCAUCCAGCGAAUCCCAGGACGACUGAGAAAACGGAGAGUCCCGUUUGGAGGACUUAAAAACACCGAAUGCCUUGCCAAGAGGUAAACUUGGUAGUUAUCCUUUUCCUUUCAAUUAUUUUAAAAUAGUUAGCUUAGUUAAUCAGGUUUAUAUCAUCUUGAAAAGAAAAUAAAAAUGUUAAAAAUAGUAAGCCCCAUGUGAGUAUGCUCAUGGCAUAAAACCCAUAAGUACAUUCACUAUGGUGGCAUAAAAAUAAAAUAAAUAUAUUCCUGUCCUAUAAAAAUAAAAAUAUAAAAAUAAAUUUAUGAUCCUACCAAAGAGUGUAACAUUUAUUGAGGAGGCUCAACAUGAUAAAGGCUAAGAGAUUUUAUGCUAAGACUUAACUAGUUCCACAAAGCUUUGUUGUCUAUUUGAGCUCCAUAGAAUUCAAUGAUCAAAGAAGACUAGCAGACGGAGGACAUCCUAACCGCUGUCAGGAUGCUGCCGACAUUCAAAUACACCUCCGCCACCUGCUAGCUUCAUCAGAAGAAAUUAUGUCAAAAUCCAGCUUGGGGGAGAGCACCCUCAUUUAUCCAGCUAAGUGUUCUACUCAUGUUUAUACUUUACUCGAAUAAUAAAAAGAUGCGUAAUCAUAAAAACCCAAAUAAAGUUUUUGUGCUUAUAUAUAUAUCUUUGCUUAGUUUGCUAAAUAAAUAAAUAAGUAAAGUUUGCUAUGAACCCUCAUGAUAAGCUCUCACAUGGAAAUGAUGAAUAGUUGCUCUGCCAUGUACCUAGUUUUCAAGUUUAAGCUUUCUCUCAAGUUUAGUCAUGACUGUUAUUAAUUAAGAUUUGCUCUAAACCUGAACUUGUGGGAAGAGUACUUGAUCUGAAGUCUAAGUCGUUAACGGAUAUGAUAUGGGAAGGUUGAGCUGCUGUUUAUCAGUUCCUAGAGAUGCUAGAAUUUUGGAGAAUUUUAUCUUUGAAAAUCUUUAAAAUGUUGCAUGAUGAGUUCCUGUAUGAUGAGAGUUUAAAUUCCUACCACAGCCAUAUAUACAUGCUUGCUAGACUUUGAGCCACACAUUUACUUUUUACUGCUUAUGAGCAUUGCGUGUGGUCAAGCUGUGUAGACCCUUAGAAGCUUGUCAUGUGGUUAAAUCAAGAUUCACUUGCACGUUCACUCAUACAUGCUGCUUCUACUCCGAAAGUACGAAUCCACAUAUAUCCACCCAUGUUCAUCUCCAGAUUCAUUCAAAAUUAUUCUAUUCCUAUCUAGGAGAGAAUAGCCAAAAAUAUGAUCCUAUCCCUGUUAUUUCCCGUGAAAUAAAUGCUCAAGUUAUCUUGGUUACUACCACUUGCUAUAUUAUUUCAAGAGAUGAAUGCUCUAAAAAAAAGAAAAAAAGAUAUGAGGAAAUAAAAAGGGGCAAGUGCCCGAAACCUCGAAAGAAAAGAAAAAGUGAGACGAGAGGUAAAAAUGGACAAGUGUCCGACAGUAGAAUUAGGGGUACAAGAUACCCACCUGAGAGAAAAGAAAAAGAAAAUAUAGAACAUCUCAUUCUCAUCAAAAAGUUUCAAAAUAGCAAGACAGGUAUGUAUCCCCUCAAAAGAGCAUAAGUAGAAUUAGACUUUCACCAUUGUUAUCACCAUCAUUACCAUGCAUCAUUCAUUCGCCACACAUGCACAUCUUGAUCUGACUUAUUGACUUGUUCUUCUGGAUCCAUGGUUUGACUAUGCAAUAAAUGUCUUGUAAGUAUGUAUUAGCUGUCUCCCACCUAUGAGCUCCAGAUAUCAAAAGCCUUAUUAGAGUAGGGUGAGAGAGAAGGCAAUGUCACUAUGCCUUAUACCAAAAAUACCACAUACUUUGAGAGAAGGCAUACACCUUUACUGCCUUGGUAAGGAUCCAGAAAUACCACAAAAGAGAGACUAGAGAGAGUCAUACAAGGAAUCUCUGAGUUCUAUUUGAAAAUCUGCAAAAACUCCAGAGCUAUAGUUAAUCGAAGAACAAGAGACAUGGCGUUUGACUAGACCGUUCUAUCUUUUAACUGCUCAAGACACAGGUGACGGUUGCAAGCCCCAUGGUGGAAGGUAAUAUGAGUAAGUUUAAAUCUUAACAGUUUACCCUAACCUAGAGAUGAGAUCUUGUUUGAACGCAUGUGUAUCUUUAAGGUAUAAAACCACUGCAGAAACUCUUGAGUCCAUCUUUGCUCAGGGACGAGCAAAGGUUAAGCUUGGGGGAGCUUGUUGACAGUCCUUAAUGCUCAUAUUUAAUCAUUAACUAAUCAUGGAAAAGGAUCCAAAUGCAACCAACACCUAGACUUAGGGUUUUAUCUGACAGAAUUCCACGAGUUUUGGUGUUUGUCUAUUUCUGCAGGGGGUUAUCAGGAAAUACGGAAGAAAGGCCCACACGUCGGGUUUACAUAGAGAUAUUAACGUGUCGCGCAAUUUUCUAUCAUCUAGAAGACUCCAGAAGCCACAGGAACAAACGGGAAGGAAAUCGAGCUCGGAGGCAGGGCGCCCGCCCAACUCUCCUGGGCGCCCGCCCAGCUACAGUGCCCAAUCAGGACACGUUUCGCGGAUCAUGCUCCACCGACCUAAUACUUCAAGGAAAACCACACGAUCAAUGUCGGUUUGAUCCGACGGCCUAGAUUCAUCUGAAAAGACUAUAUAAGCAUGGCCCCCUGGACCCUGGAGAUCAUACCUCUUCUACAGAAUCAAAGUUAGGGUUUCAAUUCUUCAUCCAAGUAGAGAGGAUCCCUCUAGUUCUUCUAGUUCUACCUCUAGUUCAUCUAGAUCUAGUUCUAGUUCAUCUAGUUCUAGUUCUAGUUCUAGUUCCUCUAGUUCUAGUUCUAGUUAGUUCUAGUUGUAAUCUAGAAAAUAGGGAGAGAGAAGAGGAGAGCGGAGGAGGAGCCGGAUCUGUCGGAUCUUCCUCAACAUUAUACUUUUGCAGCAUCUGGUUCGUUCUUCAUCGUUCUCCAGGUUCUUCAAUUCAUAAUUCCUGAGUUCUUUAAUUACUUUUAUUUACAUUCAAGUUAUUUAUUGGAUUCCCGCUUGCAUCAAGUGCCCUAGUCUUUAUAACACUAGAGUAGUAAUUAAUAGAUUAGACGUGGUGUUUAGUCUUGCAAUUACCUGGAAUUGCACCCAAUCCUGCGGAUUGUUGUGGUAGCCUUAGGGUAGUGACAGUCCUAACGGUCGACGUAUUCCACCACGUUCGGAUCGGUGUUUGUAGGACCGUAGUCAGACCUUCCUAGCCCCCUUU
rnacentral:lncRNA from 1 species